rnacentral:rRNA from 1 species
CCUACGGGGAGCAGCAGUGGGGAAUAUUGGACAAUGGGGGGAACCCUGAUCCAGCCAUGCCGCGUGUGUGAAGAAGGCCAUCGGGUUGUAAAGCACUUUCAGUGAGGAAGAACGCCUGGUGGUUAAUACCCAUCAGGAAAGACAUCACUCACAGAAGAAGCACCGGCUAACUCCGUGCCAGCAGCCGCGGUAAUACGGAGGGUGCGAGCGUUAAUCGGAAUUACUGGGCGUAAAGCGCGCGUAGGUGGCUUGAUAAGCCGGUUGUGAAAGCCCCGGGCUCAACCUGGGAACGGCAUCCGGAACUGUCAAGCUAGAGUGCAGGAGAGGAAGGUAGAAUUCCCGGUGUAGCGGUGAAAUGCGUAGAGAUCGGGAGGAAUACCAGUGGCGAAGGCGGCCUUCUGGACUGACACUGACACUGAGGUGCGAAAGCGUGGGUAGCAAACAGGAUUAGAUACCCGAGUAGUC